GGUUGGGGAUUUAGCUCAGUGGUAGAGCACUUGCCUAGCAAGCACGAGGCCCUGGGUUCAAUCCUCAGUACCCUGUGCUCACACCUCAGCCA